AAAUUGAAGAGUUUGAUCAUGGCUCAGAUUGAACGCUGGCGGCAGGCCUAACACAUGCAAGUCGAACGGUAACAGGAAGCAGCUUGCUGCUUUGCUGACGAGUGGCGGACGGGUGAGUAAUGUCUGGGAAACUGCCUGAUGGAGGGGGAUAACUACUGGAAACGGUGGCUAAUACCGCAUAACGUCGCAAGACCAAAGAGGGGGACCUUCGGGCCUCUUGCCAUCAGAUGUGCCCAGAUGGGAUUAGCUUGUUGGUGAGGUAACGGCUCACCAAGGCGACGAUCCCUAGCUGGUCUGAGAGGAUGACCAGCCACACUGGAACUGAGACACGGUCCAGACUCCUACGGGAGGCAGCAGUGGGGAAUAUUGCACAAUGGGCGCAAGCCUGAUGCAGCCAUGCCGCGUGUAUGAAGAAGGCCUUCGGGUUGUAAAGUACUUUCAGCGGGGAGGAAGGUGUUGUGGUUAAUAACCGCAGCAAUUGACGUUACCCGCAGAAGAAGCACCGGCUAACUCCGUGCCAGCAGCCGCGGUAAUACGGAGGGUGCAAGCGUUAAUCGGAAUUACUGGGCGUAAAGCGCACGCAGGCGGUCUGUCAAGUCGGAUGUGAAAUCCCCGGGCUCAACCUGGGAACUGCAUUCGAAACUGGCAGGCUUGAGUCUUGUAGAGGGGGGUAGAAUUCCAGGUGUAGCGGUGAAAUGCGUAGAGAUCUGGAGGAAUACCGGUGGCGAAGGCGGCCCCCUGGACAAAGACUGACGCUCAGGUGCGAAAGCGUGGGGAGCAAACAGGAUUAGAUACCCUGGUAGUCCACGCCGUAAACGAUGUCUACUUGGAGGUUGUGCCCUUGAGGCGUGGCUUCCGGAGCUAACGCGUUAAGUAGACCGCACGGGAGUACGGCCGCAAGGUUAAAACUCAAAUGAAUUGACGGGGGCCCGCACAAGCGGUGGAGCAUGUGGUUUAAUUCGAUGCAACGCGAAGAACCUUACCUGGUCUUGACAUCCACAGAAGAAUCCAGAGAUGGAUUUGUGCCUUCGGGAACUGUGAGACAGGUGCUGCAUGGCUGUCGUCAGCUCGUGUUGUGAAAUGUUGGGUUAAGUCCCGCAACGAGCGCAACCCUUAUCCUUUGUUGCCAGCGAUUAGGUCGGGAACUCAAAGGAGACUGCCAGUGAUAAACUGGAGGAAGGUGGGGAUGACGUCAAGUCAUCAUGGCCCUUACGACCAGGGCUACACACGUGCUACAAUGGCGCAUACAAAGAGAAGCGACCUCGCGAGAGCAAGCGGACCUCAUAAAGUGCGUCGUAGUCCGGAUUGGAGUCUGCAACUCGACUCCAUGAAGUCGGAAUCGCUAGUAAUCGUGGAUCAGAAUGCCACGGUGAAUACGUUCCCGGGCCUUGUACACACCGCCCGUCACACCAUGGGAGUGGGUUGCAAAAGAAGUAGGUAGCUUAACCUUCGGGAGGGCGCUUACCACUUUGUGAUUCAUGACUGGGGUGAAGUCGUAACAAGGUAACCGUAGGGGAACCUGCGGUUGGAUCACCUCCUUACCUUAAAGAA
rnacentral:rRNA from 1 species